rnacentral:rRNA from 1 species
UACAGAGGGGGCAAGCGUUGUUCGGAAUUACUGGGCGUAAAGGGCGCGUAGGCGGCCUGCUAAGUCGAACGUGAAAUCCCUCGGCUUAACCGGGGAACUGCGUCUGAUACUGGAUGGCUGGAGUUUGGGAGAGGGAUGCGGAAUUCCAGGUGUAGCGGUGAAAUGCGUAGAUAUCUGGAGGAACACCGGUGGCGAAGGCGGCAUCCUGGACCAAUACUGACGCUGAGGAGCGAAAGCCAGGGGAGCAAACGGG